GACGUAGGGCGCGAGCGUUGUCCGGAUUUAUUGGGCGUAAAGAGCUCGUAGGCGGCUUGUUGCGUCGGCUGUGAAAACCCGCGGCUUAACUGCGGGCUUGCAGUUGAUACGGGCAGGCUAGAGUUCGGUAGGGGAAACUGGAAUUCCUGGUGUAGCGGUGAAAUGCGCAGAUAUCAGGAGGAACACCGGUGGCGAAGGCGGGUCUCUGGGCCGAUACUGACGCUGAGGAGCGAAAGCGUGGGGAGCGAACAGG
rnacentral:rRNA from 1 species